rnacentral:rRNA from 1 species
GUCCACGCCGUAAACGAUGUCAACUAGCCGUUGGUUCUAUUUAAUAGAAUUAGUGGCGCAGCUAACGCAUUAAGUUGACCGCCUGGGGAGUACGGCCGCAAGGUUAAAACUCAAAUGAAUUGACGGGGGCCCGCACAAGCGGUGGAGCAUGUGGUUUAAUUCGAUGCAACGCGAAGAACCUUACCUACCCUUGACAUCCAGAGAAUCUGUUAGAGAUAGUAGAGUGCCUUCGGGAGCUCUGAGACAGGUGCUGCAUGGCUGUCGU